rnacentral:rRNA from 1 species
GAUGAACGCUAGCGGCAGGCUUAAUACAUGCAAGUCGUGGGGCAGCACAGGUAGCAAUACUGGGUGGCGACCGGCAAACGGGUGCGGAACACGUACGCAACCUUCCUUUAAGCGGAGAAUAGCCCAGGGAAACUUGGAUUAAUACUCCAUAAGAUUAUGGUGUGGCAUCACACAGUAAUUAAAGCUCCGGCACUUAAAGAUGGGCGUGCGGCUGAUUAGGUAGUUGGCGGGGUAACGGCCCACCAAGCCUACGAUCAGUAACUGGUGUGAGAGCACGACCAGUCACACGGGCACUGAGACACGGGCCCGACUCCUACGGGAGGCAGCAGUAAGGAAUAUUGGUCAAUGGACGCAAGUCUGAACCAGCCAUGCCGCGUGGAGGAUGAAGGCCCUCUGGGUUGUAAACUUCUUUUAUCUGGGAAGAAACCCAUCUUUUCUAAGGUGGUUGACGGUACCAGUUGAAUAAGCACCGGCUAACUCCGUGCCAGCAGCCGCGGUAAUACGGAGGGUGCAAGCGUUAUCCGGAUUCACUGGGUUUAAAGGGUGCGUAGGUGGGCAGGUAAGUCAGUGGUGAAAUCUCCGGGCUUAACCCGGAAACUGCCGUUGAUACUAUCU